CCUUCGGGUUGUAAAGCCCUUUAGGUUAGGAAGAAGCGUUGUUUGUAAAUAGCGAAUGACGUUGACGGUACUAACAGAAUAAGCACCGGCAAACUCUGUGC
rnacentral:rRNA from 1 species